rnacentral:lncRNA from 10 species
AGGCCUGGAGACAUUUCUACUGGUACCUUACCAAUGAGGUAAGGUAUCUCCAUGAUUACCUUCAUCUACCCCCAAGAGAUUGGGCCUGCCACUCUACGCCGCAGCCGUCCAGAGAGCGGCAGGCCUCGGCCUAAAGAUCUGUAGGGUGAGAGACCUGCAAGACUCACAAGAGGGGAAGCCGACAGAGAUACCUACCGACGGAGUGCUGUGCCCCCUGGUGCCAACAAGAAAGCUGAGGCUGGGGCUGGGUCAGCAACCGAAUUCCAGUUUAGAGGCGGAUUUGGUCGUGGACGUGGUCAGCCACCUCAGUAA